rnacentral:rRNA from 1 species
CCUACGGGGGGCUGCAGUGGGGAAUCUUGCACAAUGGAGGAAACUCUGAUGCAGCGAUGCCGCGUGAGUGAAGAAGGCCCUUGGGUUGUAAAGCUCUUUCGUCGGGGAAGAAAAUGACUGUACCCGAAUAAGAAGGUCCGGCUAACUUCGUGCCAGCAGCCGCGGUAAUACGAAGGGACCUAGCGU